rnacentral:tRNA from 1 species
CUGUAGCUCAGAUGGGAGAGCACCUGCUUUGCAAGCAGGGGGUCACGAGUUCGAUCCUCGUCAGCUCCACCAU